GAUGAAGAACGUAGCGAAAUGCGAUAAGUAAUGUGAAUUGCAGAAUUCAGUGAAUCAUCGAAUCUUUGAACGCACAUUGCGCCCUUUGGUAUUCCGAAGGGCAUGCCUGUUCGAGCGUCAUUAUCACCCCUCAAGCCCCGGCUUGGUGUUGGGCUCUCGGUGGUCGUCUCCGACCACCCGUCUCAAAGAUAGUGACGGCGUCCCAGAGGGAACCGGUACGAGGAGCUUUCACGAGCAUGUACGCGGGACGACUCUGCGGGCGACGGUCUUAUUUACUUUAUAUACAAGUGUUGACCUCGGAUCAGGUAGGAAUACCCGCUGAACUUAAGCAUAUCAAUAGCGGAGGA
rnacentral:misc_RNA from 1 species